GCCGACGUGGUGGAACUGGUAGACACGCUACUUUGAGGGGGUAGUGGGAGUAAUCCCGUGGGAGUUCGAGUCUCCCCGUCGGCA
rnacentral:tRNA from 1 species